rnacentral:tRNA from 1 species
UUAACUGUAGUUUAGACGAAAAUACUAGCAUUGGAAGUUAAAGUUCGGAGUUGAUCUCCGCAGUUAAA